UCCAAGAAUGAUCGGAAUUGAGUUUAGAAUCCAUGAACGCAACAUUGAUUCGUAUAAAGAAUAUCAAAAUAUUAAAGUACUUGCAAAAUUAUUUGAUAGUAGAAGAAAAAAUGGUGGUCCCUAAUACAAAUUUGCUUCGGUUUCUGCACAGAAUCUCCGCUUUCAUGGAGUUUUACUCCACAAGAAAAGUUGAAAAAAUGAUCCGGCUAUUAAUCUUAAUGUCUUUUAUAUAAAAUUAAGUCAAAUAAGAAAAAGUUACUUCUAAAAAUGUUAAAUCCUAGGCCAAAAAAGUUGGCUAGAAAACAUUAGACCAAAAACGUUGGCUAGAAAACAUUAACACUAUGCCGACAUUUGGAUAAACUGAAAUAAGAAGUUUGUCAAUAAGAGUACAAUUCAUUUACUAAACGCUCUACAUACUAUCUCUAUUUCCUCAAGUGAAUAUUUAAUAGAUUUCCUAUUUUCUACUAAUAUAGGAAAAAGAUAUAAUAUACACAUGGAGCAAACUUUUUAUGUUUAUAUUAAUAUCAAAUAAGGAUGCUAGGCCCAAAAUUGAGAACAUAUAAAUUUUGAUGUUUACUUCACUGAAAGUUAGUUAUCUCAGACACUAAAAAAUGUCGGAUUCGCCUCUGCCUAUAAUAAGAAUUUUCGGGAAAAGAUAUCGAUUUUAAGCGAAAGUAAUCAAACAUCGCUCUUACUACAUUAGUCCGCUAAGUCCGUAAGGAAAUAAACAAUGAGUAAUUGCAAUAAUUAAAAAAAAGUUAAAAAUGUCCUAUAAACAAUAAAUUAAUUUUAAAUUAACCAGCUGGUCGCUGUUAGAAGAGGAUCUUCAACUUUUAUUGGCAAAAAACAAUGUUAUGGCGGAAAAAGAAGAAGCAGAUGAUGAUAUUAAAAUAGAUUUGAUUAAUACUGUAAAAAUCAAUGUAACAAAAGAUUUCAAAAGAAAGAAAAAAGAUGAUAAAAAGCGUGUAUCGAUGUCCGAUUUUAAUACCGAUAACAUCGGGGUUGAUUCCGAAUUUAAUCGCCGCAGAUCAAAAUCAGCUCCUAUAUCACUUGAAGCAGCAAGCGUGGCUACUGAGUUAAAACGCUUGAGUGACUCUCUUCAUACCAUGUAUUCAUCCUUUAAUAAAAAAUCGAGAAGGAAGAAUCUUAGUCUAAGUGAAUCUACCCCAAAAAGAGAAAGCUUUCAUUUCGAUUACGAUAAGUACCCAGAAGUUAUAAACGAAACUAAAAUGCACAAAACUCAUAGCACAUCUUUAUAAUUUUUUUAAAGAAGUUUUAUGUUAAAUUUGAUAUAAAUAAAGAUUAUCUAAAUAUGUGUUAAUGAAUGUACAUAUUAUGUUUGUGUUGAAUUUGAUAAAAAAAAAAUUAAUCUAAUCAUGUUAGAGAAUUCUUGAAAAAUAUAUAGAUUUUAAGUUGCACUUUAUGUAUAUAAGCAGUUAUAUAAACACGUCAUUUAUGUAAAAUCCAUUUAUAUGAUACAGUUUUGAUAAAUUGA